AGCUUUAAAAAAAAAUUAGACUGCAAUUCUUAUUAAGGAAAAUAAUAUUCCUAAAGCUU
rnacentral:tRNA from 1 species